rnacentral:rRNA from 1 species
CCAGACUCCUACGGGAGGCAGCAGUGGGGGAUAUUGCACAAUGGGGGGAACCCUGAUGCAGCGACGCCGCGUGGGUGAAGGAGUAUUUCGGUAUGUAAAGCCCUAUCGGCAGGGAAGAAGCAAGACGGUACCUGACUAAGAAGCCCCGGCUAACUACGUGCCAGCAGCCGCGGUAAUACGUAGGGGGCGAGCGUUAUCCGGAUUUACUGGGUGUAAAGGGGGCGCAGGCGGCGCGCCAAGUCUGAUGUGAAACCCCGGGGCUCAACCCCGGGCAUGCAUUGGAAACUGUCAGGCUAGAGUGUCGGAGAGGCAAGUGGAAUUCCUAGUGUAGCGGUGAAAUGCGUAGAUAUUAGGAGGAACACCAGUGGCGAAGGCGGCUUGCUGGACGAUGACUGACGUUGAGGCUCGAAAGCGUGGGGAGCAAAUAGGAUUAGAUACCCCUGUA